rnacentral:rRNA from 1 species
AGAUUGAACGCUGGCGGCAUGCUUUACACAUGCAAGUCGAACGCGGUCGAGGGGCAACUCUUGGCCGAGUGGCGAACGGGUGAGUAAUACAUCGGAACGUGCCCCGUUGUGGGGGAUAACCCACCGAAAGGUGGGCUAAUACCGCAUACGCCCUGAGGGGGAAAGCGGGGGACCUGAGAGGGCCUCGCGCGAUGGGAGCGGCCGAUGUCGGAUUAGCUAGUAGGUUGGGUAAAGGCUGACCUAGGCGACGAUCCGUAGCUGGUCUGAGAGGAUGAUCAGCCACACUGGGACUGAGACACGGCCCAGACUCCUACGGGAGGCAGCAGUGGGGAAUUUUGGACAAUGGGGGCAACCCUGAUCCAGCCAUGCCGCGUGAGUGAAGAAGGCCUUCGGGUUGUAAAGCUCUUUCGGCCGGAACGAAAUCGCAUCGCCUAAUACGGGGUGUGGAUGACGGUACCGGAAGAAGAAGCACCGGCUAACUACGUGCCAGCAGCCGCGGUAAUACGUAGGGUGCGAGCGUUAAUCGGAAUUACUGGGCGUAAAGCGUGCGCAGGCGGCUCUUUAAGUCAGAUGUGAAAGCCCCGGACUUAACCUGGGAACUGCGUUUGAAACUGGAGGGCUGGAGUGUGGCAGAGGGAGGUGGAAUUCCACGUGUAGCAGUGAAAUGCGUAGAGAUGUGGAGGAACACCAAUGGCGAAGGCAGCCUCCUGGGCCAACACUGACGCUCAUGCACGAAAGCGUGGGGAGCAAACAGGAUUAGAUACCCUGGUAGUCCACGCCCUAAACGAUGUCAACUGGUUGUUGGGGAAGGAAACUUCCUUAGUACCGCAGCUAACGCGUGAAGUCGACCGCCUGGGGGAGUACGGUCGCAAGAUUAAA